AAUGAUCCUGCCUUCCAAGAUCUGUUAAAUCAAGCUGAUGAAGAAUUUGGGUUCAGCCAACCAGAAGGCGGCCUCACUAUUCCCUGCUCAGUGGACACAUUCAUUCACCUUACUUCACGCCUAGAUAGAUUAUAGUGAGAAAACAUUUGUGUACUGGUAGAUAGUACAGCAUUGAAAUGUACAUAGUAGAAUAGGGAUUUUUAUCAGAUUUUUGUUGGCAACGCAUAAUUUGAAACUCACCACUUUGUCCGAUCUAAAAUUACCAUAGUAGAUAGAUUAUAGCUUAUUCUUAUAAAUCUAGAUCAAUAUAUAGAACGCCUGACAGAAAAAAGAGAUCAAAAUAUAGAACGAAAAAGUUUGAUACUCAAAUCAGUAACUUUUGCAUGUGACCUAAAGCUAAUUCUCUGAAGGCAGGGACUUUUAAAUAUCUUAAACUUAUCUACCCAGAACCUAUAUAUGAUGUUCUUGAUAAAAACAGCAAAUUUCAGAUGCAAUGAUUGUUGAAUGCAGACAGGUUUACAUAUAGUCCCUAGAUACUAAAAUGAAAAAAAAAAAAGGAAUGAAACAUCCAUCCAACAAAAAACCAGCACAGUGAAAUUGGAGGGUUGAGUCUGUCAACUAUUAGAGUGAAAUUAUAUAAACUUGUUCUUCACAUCCAUCCAAAGAGAUCUCGGUAAUUCCAGGAUAGCAAUAUGUAUGAAUAAAUAGAUAUUAAUUAACUAAGCAAAAGAAAUUCUUCACUGGUAUCUAAAAAUCAUAUUUCUGUGUAAUGAGAUGGUUACUCUAAUUUUCCCUAGGUUAUCAAAUGAGGGGGAUUGACUAGUAUACAUUAUAAACUAGAACCAUGCAAAACUGUUAGUACCAGAUAAUAGCUAUUUGUUUCUUAUAUCUGUGCAAGACUAAAGUGCGGUUAAUGAAUGUCUUCUCUACAUGGAAAAGCCACUUCAGACUAUAAAGACAUGGAAUGUAUAAAGCUGCUUAUCUAUAUUUCAAAUAAUAAGUACUUAUAAAGAUAUAUAAUGACUUCAUACUGAUUGCAGAGAUCAAAUCCAUGUAGAAAUUAAUGUAAUCAAAUUACAAAGUAUCAGUUAAUGCUCUACCAAAAAGAUCUAUAUGAGAGUCAUAUAUAAAAUUUCUGGACUAGUCUACAAAAUUGUACACUAUCUAACAAAAUAUAUAUAAACUCUCAUAAUCUGUUCAAGAGAUCAAUGAAGGUGUCUUCUUUGCAUGGUAUUGUGAGGCCACGUUCUGGAUGACUGAACCCAAAUUCUUCCUCAGCUUGACUUAACAGGUCUUGGAACGUAGGCUCAUUUAAGUAAGAGAUCGGAACGACAAAUCUUCUUCUUUGGUUCUCCCCGACAUAAACUGCUAUACAUCCCUUGGGGACAUUUGUACUGCGAUCAAGAUUUUUUAAGGAAAAUUGUCUGUUGAGAAUUUGCUUGAGAUUAGUGAUAUGAGGCACACGAAUACCCAUGAUGCUCAAGAAAAAUUGAAACUUCAACGGAUAUGGAGAAACCAAGAACUUCUGCAGAUGGUAGGCUUAGACCCUUAAUUACACUUGAUUUUGAGAUGAAUUUGGUUGAGGAGAUCACAGUUUUUAUAUCGAAAUAACAAGUAAUGAGCGGUUGAUGAAAAUGUAGAUUGAGUGGAACAGAUGCAUUAGGCAAUAGCACAUGCUAUUCUCUUUAAAAGGCCACACAUAUUUAAGAGUAAUGCUAGGACUUGAAUCUCUACUGAGAGACAUCAUGUCCUACAAAUAUGGACCUGAUAUACGACAGAAUAUAACGUAAUAUAUACGGAUAUGAACAACGUACAAUUAAUUUGGCUGGAAAGUCCCCACUUUGCCUGGCAAGCAAGGUAUUUGUGGUCAGUAGUUAGGUGCUCAUGUGAUAGUGUUUUCAUUCACCUAUCCUAGAUGUGAAUUUUGUGUAGUAGGAAACACCUGAUACAAGUUGUUAUAUCCAUGAAAGGAAGGGCAAAUUUAUUGAAGAAACAGAUUAAUGGACUGUUAGGAUUUUGUGUGGUAGGAAACACCUCAUAUAAGUUUUCAUAUAUUUAUAUUCACAAAACAAAUAGUAAAUCAGAAUGGGACAGGUAGAUUGUUAAAAUACAACCCUUAAUAUAACUCGGUCUUCUUGGCAUGCUUAAAAAUAAAUCCGCUCACCCCAAAACCGAUAAUAUCCGGUAUGAGUUAAAAGAAAUAAAUUAAAUUCUGGAAAAGAAGAACUAAGUUCCGAGAAAAAAGAAGGUAAAGACUCCUCCGAAGACCAGAAAUAUAUAAGAACACGGUCAAACUUUUAAUGUGACAUUAAAAAUUAAGACUAGCACAAAAGCCCCUGCGAGGCAAAGUUUAAAUGUGAAAUUAGAAACUAAGACCAGCACAAAAACCCCUACGAGGCACAUGCUUUUAAUUUAAAUCAUGUUUCUAAUUGAUUGUUUAUUAUAUUUAUAGAAUUUAAAUUUUAAUGUAUUUGUUUGUUUUUAAAUUUUAAAUUGAACUUUUUGAUACCUCUGUGUAUUCUACUGUAAUUGAUACUCGAUUUAUUGUUAGCAAUUCAAUAUUAGCAAGAUAUAUUAAUUAAAAUUAUCCUCAUUGACACAGUUUCUGUUUAAUAAAACUCUUAAAACAUUUGUAACAUACUAAACCAACAAAACAGACCUCUAGCAAAGGUUGAUAGUAUAGUCAUCAGCAUGCUCAAAACAUGUAAAAGUUUACAUGAAAGUCUCAGUCAGAAUUAAUAUUCCUAGACUAGUUCACAGAGUUUGUACACUAUCUAACAAAAUUUAACUAUGUCAUAUCUGCAGACAUAUAAACUUUCAUAAUCUGUUUAAGACAUCAAUGAAAGUGUCUUCUUUGCAUGGAAUUGUGAGGCCACCUUCCGGAUGAGUAAACCCAAAUUCUUCCUCAGCUUGACUUAACAGGUCUUGGAAUGUAGGCUCAUUUAAGUAGGAGACCGGAACCACAAAUCUUCUUCUUUGGUUCUCCCCAACAUAAACUGCCAUGCAUCCCUUGGGGACAUAUGUACUCCCAUCAAGAUUUGUAGAGGAAAAUUGCCGGUUGAGAAUUUGCUUGAGAUUAGUGACACGAGGCAUGCGGAUACCCAUGAUGCUAAUGAAAAAUUAAAGUUUUCAGAGUAAACUUUGGGGAUAUGCAAUUACAAGGACCUCUGCAGAUUGAAGCUUCGACACUAGAAUACACUCAAUUCUGAAAUGACUUUGCUAAGUUUCCAACAGUGUUUAUAUAGAACGGACAGAAUGUAUUGAGCUGUUGAUCAAAUUGCAGAUUGAGUGACACAGAUGCAUUAGGCAUUAGCACAUGCUAUGCCUAAGGGUACGUAGGACUCUUAUGUCUGUGAGUGACAUCUUGUCCUACUACUUAAUUGUGUUGAACAAUUCUUAACCUGAUUGUUUCUUAUCUAUAACAGAGUUUAUACUAAGGUCAUCGACAUACAUAUAAUGGCUAGAAACUGUCAAGUUCGAUAGGCAAGAAAUCAAAUCUCAUGCUUUUAUUGGUCAUAUAUAGCUGUAGGUGGGACAGGCAAGUUUCAUGCUCAUGUGAUGGUGUUCUCUUGACCCACAUAAGUCAUGCUGCAUUAUGUGAAAAUAUCACUUGGAGCUGGAAGAAGCAGUGUCACAUGAACACUUAUUAUUUCAACCCCACCAUAAUCAGUGCAGACAAACCCAAUACAUAAAAUCCUUUGGAGGAGUCUUUAGCUAUAUACUAGUGAUUUUGUGUGCUCCAUGUUAAAUCUGCAGUGCUUUUAUGCCUUUUCUUUAAUUUUUAUUUUACUUAUACACAUAUAACUGUAGGACAUCAACAAACGUAUUCCAGGCCAAGAUUACAUAUUGAGUCGUGAUUUAUUACUAGGACAUUAUGUCUCCCAACACAUAAGAUGUCCGCUUAUCAGCCAUUAAUACAUGUAGCUAGUGAAAGAGAAAAUCAUGUGCUAGUGUCUAAUGCCUACCCACUGCUCAAUGUACAACUUGAUGAGAUGUUCUAUUCAAAUUGUUGAUUGUUCUAUAUAAACACAUAAUUAAGCGAUACUAACAUUCAUCAUAAACACACUGGUCCAAAGUCUUUUCCUUAAAACUAUACAAGUCCUAGUGUUUCUUCAGUUUCCUGAACUCUUCUCUGAAAGAUCUAUAGUGUCAUGGGUAUCCGUAUGCCUCGUAUUACUAGUCUCAAACAAAUUCUUAACCGCUCAUCUUUCUUAUUAAAUCCUGAUCUAUCUUCAACAAUUCCAAAGGGGUGCUUGGCAGUUUAUAUUGGGGAGAGGCAAAGAAGCCGAUUUGUGGUACCCAUUUCAUACCAGAAUGAGCCUGCCUUUCAAGAUUUGUUAAGUCAAGCCGAGGAAGAAUUUGGAUUCAAUCAUCCGGAAGGAGGGCUUACCAUUCCUUGCUCAGUGGACACAUUCAAUGAAAUCACUUCGCGCCUGAACAAUCUAUAUACUUGUAGAUAGUAUAGCACCUCCGAUCUCAUUUAUUGAGUUUCUGAGUGUAAACUGUAGAACAUACAGAUUUUGUAGGGGAAGCAUAAUUUGAUACUCAAACUUUUUGAACAUAUUGACCAUCACUUAUGCUCAUGUUUACUUGUUAUUUUCUAUAAAGCAUAUCACCAAGUGUUUGACGAUAAACUUUAUGCCUAAACCAAAUCACCAACAAAUUUACAGGUUCUGUAGUUACUCUUUCAUACCUGAAUCUUGCAAUCGUCUUGAAAAAUCAGCACUGACACAGGGUUGCUAGCUCAAAAAUCAAAAUUAAAAUUUAUGAACAGUUCUAACUAAUUAAUAAAUAUAUGUCUUGCAUAGUCAGUGGAGAAACCAGAACUAAAAUCUUGGGGUGGCUCAAAUAUUUAAUUAUAUUCCUAAGCACUUUUAUUACUGAUGGUCACAUCAAAAAGAGAUUAAAUAUUUUUAUAUGAUGUGACCCCCGCCGUGUAUCUCCCGCUCGAGUUAAACAAGUUUCUCUAUUCUUCUUUUUUUCCAGAAAAUAUCUCACCACUUUCGAAACAUUUCAGUGUAAGUUCAUAAUGUCUUUGUCGAAACAUAUCCAUUCUCUUACACGAAUCAUCAACAAAUUCACAAUACGACAAAGAUGACCAGAAAAAUCACUUACUACAUGAGAACAUUUAGCCAUAGCAACAACUAAUAACUGCAAUUUCAUGACUCUAAUGGUGAUUUAAAGUAAUGCAAUAUGAUGACUCUCCUGGUAGUUUAAUGUAAUUCGAGAGUACCAAAUUAGACUACCACAAUUCAAUAAUUCAGAAUUAACGAAGAAGUCUCUAAAUUAUCAUUCUAAUUAGUAAGGACUUCCCAGAUCAAUUUCAGGAUCAAACGACGACAUAUGUGUUAGAGAGAACCUUUUAAACUCUAUUUCUCGGGCAUCCCCCAAUUAACAAUUUCAUUAUACAAAAUCAUAAAAGAUACAAAAAUAUUAAAGACUAACAAUUUAUCCAAGAAUCAAGAAGGUCAAUCACAAAACGUGAUAAAAAUAAAAGGAUAAUCAAUCAAUUUAUCAUACCUUGAAAUUUAAAAAGCAAGUGAGAAGUCAGAGUAUUGAGUAAACACGAAAACACUGAGUGAAUCUAGAGAGGGAAAUAGAAGGAUAACGUCGGGUGUACUUUAUUCGACAUUUUAAAAAAUUAUGUUGACAUCUGUAAUUUAGCAGAGGCUAAAAAAAAAAUAUCCACCGUUUUUUGAGGUCAUGGGUAGCUUUAGCAUCCCCUAGCCCUCUCUGGUUGUGCCACUGUGCAUAGUUUAAUUUAUAUAAGUCAUUUAUUAUCAUGAAUACUCCUUUUGCUCUUGAGCCUACGAGAUAUUAACGAUGCGCAUAUCAACCUAUGCAGUAUUGUAGCUAACAUGUUAAGUAUCGCGUCUGGGAGUACUUUCGCAAGAAUGAAACCUUUUGUCAUUGAACUUCCCAAUCAAAAUUAUCGUAAGACCUUGUGAUGAUCAACCUUUUGAGGAUCCAAUUGUAUUCCGGCUUCCCAAUAAAUUAAGUUAAAAUUUUGUAAUUUCACUACAAAGUUUUCCAAUCUAAUAAAAAUUAAAAUAAAUACCUAAUAUACAAAUUUUAUAAGAAGUUAAUCGAAACUGCCCUAACAAUUUCACAUUCUAUCUCAGGGACUGGGAAAGUAAAUUUUAGAGGUUAACAGACUAAGAUUGGUAUUGUUAACCAUACAGGAAAAAUAAAAUUUGCGAACUAAACGUAUAUAUUUGAGAUGAGAACCAAUAUACAAAAAAAUCUACAAGAAAGAAUAAUUUCGUGUAUUAAUUGAUGCCUAAAAGAUUCACAUUGUAAGUCUCACUAUAUAACAUAUCUGGACAAGUAUGAUAGACGUACAAUUAUUGACAAUAUCAGAAGUGCCAUGUAUAAUGCUAAAACAAAGAGACAUGCCCAAGUUAGAUUUAAGUAUAUAAGGGGUUUAUUGUUUGAUCGGAAUAUAGUUAUGAGUUUAUUGGAACUCAAGAUAAUAUAGCUACUCCAUGAGCAUGUUGUUAUUCUUAAGUCGAGGUUUUGGUUGGGACUGAUAACUCAUCAUGAUUCAUCUGCAACGGGAACCGAAUACAUCUUAGAGGAGAUCCUCCAAGUGUAUUUAAUAGAGUAAUAAAAAGCUAUAAGGGUGGUGACAACUGCAAGUAUAACAAGAGUUUUUAGAACUCUGAACGGGGUCAUGUUAUUAGACAAAAUCUCUGAAGAUGCCCAUCUAAGCGAAUGUAAUUGUGAGGUCGCAAUUAGAUGAAAGGGUUAUUCCUUGAAGCAUUCGACGAACAUAAUCGAGACACGACCAUUAAUGUCUCAAAACCGUAGAUUAGCACCAUAACCUUUGACUUGUCAUCGUCUAUGGAGCGUGGUUACACCCAACGAAUAGAUAUUCAAGGUGAAACAAUCCAUCUAUAUCUGAAAGCCACCGAAGUAGGAGAUUUAUGAGGGUUCUAACCCGGAAGGAUACCAAUUUUGAAAGCCAGGCAUGAUGAAGACUGAUAUGCAAUUUUGUGUGGAUAUAUGGGGAUUGUUGAAAAAUGGAAAGUUUGAGGCAUUUUUUAAAUAUGUUUUUGAUGUAAUUUCUGGAAACUAAUAGUUGGUGGCUGUCCCUUGCUAACAGGACUUAAACUUUCAUGUUUGGAUCUAAGACAUUUUCUUAGUGUAAUCCAUAAAUAAAUUGAGUUGAAAUGGCUAGCUUGAAGUGGGUCAUGUGGUUGCCUGAAUUGUAGCAACUUGAAUACCAUAUUGAUUUGAUAAUGAAAGUUUGGUGGUUUUAUAGUACAUCACAUGCAAGCGUAGUGCACUAACUACUAAGGUGUGAAGCCGUAGGUGUGCCAUUGCUUCAUGCGGAGCUCCCACGCGCGGCGCGCAUGUGUGCCCUUCACCGUCUCGCAGUUUUGUGUGCUCCCACACGCGCGUGCCUUCACCAUCUCCGUGUGGAACUUAGUAGAUAAAGAAGAUUUUUCUUGAUUAUAAGCAGUCAAAAAUCUCCAUUAAUAUGUAAGAGCAGUGGCGGUGGCACGUGGGGGCCCGGGGGGACACGUGCCCCCGUAGAGUUUUCUAAAAAAAAAAAAAAAAAAUUUUUUUUUUUUGUAGGACCCACUUACUUUACCAAGUUGUAUACUCCUGUACAUACUUUUCACAGCUGAUCACAUAUAAUCCCUAGAGCUUCUUCGGCUCCUUUUACACAAACCACAACCCAAAAGCCAAAAUCAAACGAUAACACCUGCAUCAUCACUUAUCCGGGCAAGGGGGUGAUUCCUUUUCAUAUUUCUUCAACAAUUCCUUUAUCAGGUAAUUUCUCUUCUCUGCAUCAUCAUUAAUUUUCUUUGUAUUCUUGUAGUUGUAUAUAUGUUGAGUUUUAAGUGUUGUAAGACUAAAGAGUGAUGGAUUGUUGUUUAUAUAUUUGGAUUGUGAAUUGUGAUUAAAUAGUGAAUUAGCGAUGAUCUUCUUGUAUUAAAAUUUACUGUGUAGUUAUAGUUCUCAUUCUGGGCUUCUAGGAUAUUUUUCAAGAAUAGUCAGUAGAUAUCUUAGAAUUUUAAAAUCUCUUGUAAUUAUUUGGUCAUGCUUCUAUUAAACAGAAAUGGAGAGAUUUUAUAAAAGGAAGUCAGAAGCGGAAGCUGUUGUGCCGCCUGUGCCAGUGCCACCAACCGUAGUAGCUGAAAAUUCUCAAAAUAUUAUAAGAGAUGAAAGCAGAGUGAUCAAUUUAGCGACACUUGAGUCUGAUCCAGGGCUGAGGAUUCCAAUUGAAAAUUAUAAUGUUAAUAUACAAGAUGAAGUCAGGAGAAGAUACAUGCUUCAAGGUCCUUGCCAACCGGACAAUCAUAUAUUUCCAUUGACAAAGUUUGGACAAAAAUGCAGAAGAUUCAACCCAAAAUGGUUUAAAGAAUUUUCAAAUUGGUUGGAGAAUUCUAUAAUUGAUAUGCAACUCCAAGAAUUAAAUAGUCGUUUUGAUGAGGUGAAUACUACAUUACUUCUCUGCAUUUCUUGUUUGUGCCCGGAUGAUUUGUUUGUUGCUUUUGAUAAACAAAAGUUAAUUCAACUUGGUGGGUGUUAUCCUGAAGACUUUUCUCCGAUUGAACUCCUGGCCCUUGAUGACCAACUUCAGAAUUAUAUAACCGAUAUGCUGUCAAGUAUUGAAUUUUCUGAUUUGAAAGGGAUUACCGCUCUUGCCAAAAAAAUGGUUGAACUAGGAAGGGACAAAGUGUAUCCUCUGGUAUACAAGUUACUAACAUUGUCUUUGAUCUUGCCAGUGGCAACAGCAAGCGUGGAAAGAGUAUUUUCAGGAAUGCAUCUUGUUAAGACAAAGCUGCGAAAUCGCAUUGGAGAUCAGUGGUUAAAUGAUAGUUUAGUUAUAUAUAUCGAAAGGGAAAUUUUUGAUUGCGUUGACAAUGAACUGAUCAUGCAGCGAUUCCAAAACAUGAAAACUCGUCGUGGAAACUUGUAAUAUUAUCACAUGAACUUGUAAAUAUUUUUGCUAUAUAUUUAUAUAUUUUAUUUUGUUGCUGGAAAUUUAUAUGGUGCCCCCACUCGCUAAAAGUCCUGGCUCCGCCACUGUGUGUGAGGCAACACGAUGUAGCGUUCUUAUGUUUUUACAUGGGCUUGGGUUCUUAUGUUUUUACAUGGGCUUGGGAUUGAAACGCUAUAUAACGUAAUGUUAAAAUAUUAUCAGCAAUAGCCCUAUAUUCUGGUUCUGGAGUUGAUCUGAAGACUGCAGGCUGUAUCUUAGAUUUUAGAAAUCUAGGAGAUGUUCUGAUUACAAUGAGACAGCAGAUUUUCUUGUGUCUUGGCAACCUGCUCUGCAUGUAGUGACAUAUGAUUUUCUUGUGAAAAACAAAUGGAACGAAACGUGAAGCUUAUCAGUGGCUUACAUGAAGACUACAAAAAAACCCUGCACAACUGAAAUUGGAGGGUUGAGCCUAUCACUGAUCUCUAAAAAACAUAUUUCUGUGUAAUGAGAUGGUUACUUUAAUCUUCCCAAGGUUACAAAAUGGAAGUGGAUUGACUACUAUACAUUACAAACUAGAACCUUGCAAAUUGUUAGUACCAUGCAUAUAAUAGCUAUUUCAAAUAAAAAGUACUUAUGAAGAUAUAAAAUGACUACAUAAUGAUUGCAGAGAUCAAAUCCUUGUAGAAAUUAAUGUAAUCAAAUUACAAAGUAUCAGCUAAUGCUCUACCUAAAAGAUGUAUAUGAGAGUCGUAUAUAAAAUUUCUGGACUAGUUACAAAAUUUGUGUACACUAUCUAACAAAAUAUAUAUAAACCCUCAUAAUCUGUUCAACAGAUCAAUGAAGGUGUCUUCUUUGCAUGGUAUUGUUAGGCCACCUUCUGGAUGAGUAAACCCAAAUUCUUCCUCAGCUUGACUUAACAGGUCUUGAAACGUAGGCUCAUUCAAGUAAGAGAUCGGAACUACAAAUCUUCUUCUUUGGUUCUCCCCAACAUACACUGCAAUACAUCCCUUGGGGACAUUUGUACUGCGAUCAAGAUUUCUUAAGGAAAAUUGUCUGUUGAGAAUUUGCUUGAGAUUAGUGACAUGAGGCACACGAAUACCCAUGAUGCUCAAGAAAAAUUGAAACUUCAACAAAUAUGGAGAAUACAAGAACUUGAUUUUGAGAUGAAUUUGGUUGAGGAGAUCACAGUUUUUAUAUAGAAAUAACAAGUAAUGAGUGGUUGAUGAAGAUGCAGAUUGAGUGGCACAGAUGCAUUGGGCAUUAGCACAUGCUAUUCUCUUUCAAAGGCCACACAAAAUUAAGAGUAAUGCUAGUGCUAGGACAUGAAUGUCUGUUGAGAGACAUCAUGUCCUACUGUUUCGGUUCAACAAAUCUGGACCUGAUAUUUUCUCAUUUAAAUUUACGUUUUAUGCUGAUACAUGCUUCAGACAAGGAUUAGAAGGUUGAUUUUAUGUUUGAUUAUGUUAAAAUUGAAAUAACUGGACACCUAAAUAUUAAAGGCAGAGCUAUCAGACAACUAAGAAAUUUGAUUAUCCUUGGUAAUUGUAGGGCAAGUUGUGUCUUGGUAAGCAGAGACAUAUAUCCCAAACUCCUCCAACCUUGCUAUUGAUUCUGUAUUUGUAGGACAUCACCAUGUGCUAGUGACUUAUUAUUUCAUUGUCAGUGUUCAAGAAGCCUUCUAUAUAAACAUAGGGAUUUUGACAUAAAUCAACACAAGCUUAGUAGCAAACCUUUAUUUCUUUCAUCCAGCAUCCUCUAGUCCUUUCCCUCUCGACAUCCAUUCUAAGAACACUAACUUAGAAUCAUGGGUAUCCGCAUGCCUCAUAUUCCUCAUGUCAAGAAAAUCUUUCAGGGGUCUUCUUUUGCAGCUACAGCAGUUUCAGACGUCCCAAAGGGCUGCUUGGCAGUUUAAGUUGGGGAUAGCCAGAGAAAAAGAUUUGUUGUUCCAAUUUCAUACUUGGCUGAGCCUGCCUUCCAGGACUUGCUAUGUCAAGCUGAGGAAGAAUUUGGUUUUGAUCAUCCAGAUGGGGGUCUUACAAUUCCCUGCAGAGAAGAUGUGUUUACAGACCUCGCCUCAAGCUUGAGAAGAAAAUAAUAGAGAACAACCUGAUCAAAAUAAGUAGUUUAGAAAUUUUUUGUAAGCUAGUAGGAGAUAAGUUAGAAAAGGUUGGACCAUAGGCAUUUAUGCAAAAGCUUUCUUCCUGUAUCUCAUGGAAUCAUUUUCAAUGAGGAAGAUCGUCACUCAGAAUUUUGUAUAAUAUGAAACUAUAUACAUCCCGAUUAUAUUUUUAAGAUCUAAUUAUGUUGUUUGCAAAUAACUUCCUAUCUGUAAUCAGUUCCACGUUAUUCUGAAAUUGAUCGAAAUUGGCAUAGAAUAGUGUUUUAACAGAUAAAUCUAUUCAAAAUUGAUAUGGGAGAAAGCAGCCCCUUAUUUUAUAUUCCUAUAUUUCAGAAAGAAUUAGUCAUAACCUAUCUACAGUUGCUCUGUGAUCAUAUUUACUGUGAGCCCGAAAUUCAUCAAGAUUCCACCUGCAGAAGAUACUUGGCAAGGUAUACCAAUGCUUCAAGUUAUGAUUCUGCUUGCUUCAAGUUAAAUUUGCAGCACAUACAUUAUUUCAUUUUUAUGCUAUAUAUUGAUCACCUAUACAAAAAAUGUGCUACAUUAUGCGUUCCACAAAUGUAUACCUGAUCAAGACUUGAUAUGAAAUUACAAAUUCAAAUGGGAACUUUAAGUUGAUAUUUUCCCCUAUAUUUCUGUGUUACUGAUCUGUCUAUAUCAACUAAUCUUUCUUGGUAAAUUUUGAUUAUAUAAAACCGUUUAUGUUGGGGAGAGAGAAAGGAGAAGAACUAUUGUCUAUUGAGAAGUCAUAUUUCUCAUGGACCCAGUCGAAUGCUUAUACAUAGAAGAACAGAGAAGUCAUUAAUAAUUAAACAUCAAUCAAGAAAUUACAGUAGAAAGUAGCACAUCAGUUUGUACCUGCAUUACCUUACUACUUCUGGUACUCUAAUAAUAAUUCAAAAUAUAAUAUAUUUGCUCAGACAAGGAUUAGAUGUUAUAAUUCCUGUGUGAUAAUGUUUAAAACCUCCAAAAAUAGACAACCUAUAAAUUCAAGAUUAUCAUAUAUAAUACGGCAGGUUGUGUCUUGGUAGUCAUAGACAUAUAUUCCACACUCAUACAGUCUUGCUAUUCAUCUGAUGAUUUAUUAUCACCAAUAUAUAUGCAUUAGUAGUCCUUAAUUUACUAUUUAAGAACUGCUUCAUCUGCUGUAUAAGCACGUCAUUGGGAUUUUAACAAAAACCAUUUCAAGCUUAACUGUUUACCUACAUUUGUUCGUCUAGCCAUUGGUUAGUCAUCUACCUCAUAACAUUCAUUCCAAAUAAAGCCACUUACAAUCAUGGCUAUUCUUCACCGAUCUUAUUUUGGAAGAUAUACCAUGACUGCAGCUACUGUCCGAAAUAGAUUCUUUGCAAUUUAUGCCGGGGAGAGGCAAAGAACAUAAUUUAUUGUCCCAAUUUCAUGCUUGAGUGAGCGUGCCUUUUAAGACUUGUUAAGUUAAGCUGAGGAAGAAUUCGGGUUUGAUCAUCCAGAGGGGGGUUCUUACUAUUCCCUGCAGAGAAGAUAUCUUUACAGAUCUCAAGUCAGGCUUGAGCAGAAAAUCAUGAAGACGAACAUGAUCAGAACAAGUAGUGCAGAAAAUUUUGUAAACUAGUGAAUACAUAUUAACUAUAAAUGUCAGAUUGUCUUUUGUUUAUUGAGCUUGUCUCAAUAAAUGAUAUUAGAAACAAUACGAUGUAGUUAUAUUUGUCAGAUUGUCUUCAUUAUUGAGCUUUAUUCAUGAAAUGGUAUCAAAAACAGGUUCGGCAAUAGUCAUUUAAGCAAACAAUUUUCAUGUAUUUCCAUAGCAAAAAUCAUUGCAUAAAAAGUUGUCAAUUCAUAAGCAAUUUAUAUCUCCUAGUUAUAUCCUUUGACCUGAUUAUUUAGCUUGAAAAUGCCGUCCUCAAAUAUAUCAUUUCCACAUAUUUCAGCAGUUAAAUCAACAUUUGCAUCUAAUUGUGUGUAAGAAGUAUGGUUUCCUGAAGAAAUUGAAAGCAUUAGCAUCUAAUUGCAUUAGAAAUUGAAAUCAACAUUUGCAUCUAAUUGUGUGUAAGAAACUCCUUAACCCGUCAUCUUUCUUGUUAAGUCCUAAUUAUACUUCAACAGUUCCAAUGGGUUGAUUUGUGGUUCCCAUUUCAUACCUGAAUGAUCCUGCCUUCCAAGACUUGUUAAAUCAAGCUGAGGAAGAAUUUGGGUUCAGCCAACCAGAAGGCGGCCUCACUAUUCCCUGCUCAGUGGACACAUUCAUUCACCUUACUUUACGCCUAGAUAUAUUGACAAAAAAAAAAAAUUGAUCAAUAUAUUGAACACAAAAAUUUGAUACUCAAAUCUGUAAGUUUUGCAUGUAAUGUAAAGCAAAUUAUAUGUAGGCAGGGACUUCGAAAUUGAUCAAAGAUUUAAACUGUGAAUGUUAUGUCUGGUCAGAGUUGGAAAGUUAAACUUCUCUACCCAGAACCAAUAAAUGACUUUAGGUACUAAAAUGAAAAGAAAACUAAAGGAAUGAAACAUCAAGCUUAUCAGUAGCUUACAUGAAGACUCCAUAAAAAGCUGCACAACUGAAAUUAGAGGGUUGAGUCUGUCAAUUAUUAGAGUGAUAUUGAAUAAACAUGUUCUUCACAUCCAUCCAAUGAGUUCGCGGCAAUUCCAGGAUAGCAAUAUGUAUGAAUAAAUUGAUACUAGUCAACUAAGCAAAAGAAAUUCUUCACUGAUAUCUAAUAAACAUAUUUCUGUGUAAUGAGAUGGUUACAAUAAUCUUUUCUAGGUUAUCAAAUGGAAGCGGAUUGACUAGUACACAGUACCAACUACAACCUUACAAAAUUGGUAGUACCAGAUAAUAGCUAUAUGUUAGUACAAUCUGCGCAAGACUAAACUGAGGUUAACCAAUGUCUUCUCUACAAGGAAAACCCACUCCAGACUAUAGAGAGAUGGAAAUUGCUCUUCUUUUGAACAAUUACGUUUGUGAUUGGAAGCAAUAAUGUAUAAAGCUGCUUAUCUAUAUUUCAAAUAAAACAUAAUGACUACAUAAUGAUUGCAGAGAUCAAAUCCAUUUAGAAAUUAAUGUCUCAAAUUACAAAGUAUCAGGUAAUGUUCUACCUACAAGAUUUAUUAGAAAUUCCUGGACUAGUUUACAAAAUUUUUACACUAUCUAACAACAUAUAUAUAAACUUUCAUAAUCUGUUCAAGAGAUCAAUGAAGGUGUCUUCUUUGCAUGGAAUUGUGAGGCCACCUUUUGGAUGACUAAACCCAAAUUCUUCCUCAGCCUGACUUAACAGGUCUUGGAACGUAGGCUCGUUUAAGUAAGAGAUCGGAACUACAAAUCUUCUUCUUUGGUUCUCCCCAACAUAGACUGCAACACAUCCCUUCGGGACAUUUGUUCUGUAAUCAAGAUUUUUUAAGGAAAAUUGUCUGUUGAGAAUUUGCUUGAGAUUAGUGAUAUGAGGCACACGAAUACCCAUGAUGCUCAAGAAAAAUUGAAACUUCAACGGAUAAUCUUUGGAGAUAUGGAAAAUACAAGAACUUCUGCCGAUGGAAGGCUUAGACCUUAAUUCCACUUGGUUUUGUGAUGAAUUUGGUUGAGGAUAUCACAGUUUUUAUAUAGAAAUAACAAGUAAUGAGCGGUUGAUCAAAAUGCAGAUUGAGUGGCACAGAUGGAUUAGGCAAUAGCACAUGCUAUUCUCUUUCAAAGGCCACACAUAUUUAAGAGUAAUGCUAGGACUUGAAUGUCUGCUGAGAGACAUCAUGUCCUACUGCUUCUGUUCAACAAAUCUGGACCUGAUAUUUUCUCAUGUUCUACUGAUAGUGGAGAUAAGACAGAAUAUAACGUAAUAUAUACGGAUAUGAACAAGGUACAAAUAAUUGGGUGGAAAGUCCUCACUUUGCCUGGCAAGCAAGGUAGCAAAUUUUAAGAAGUUAGUUUUUGUGGUCAGUAGUUGUGGGUGGGACGGACAAGUUAAGUGCUCAUGUGAUAGUGUUUUCAUUCACCUAUCCUAGCUGUUUAUUUUUUGUGCAGUAGGAAACACCUGAUACAAGUUGUUAUAUUCACGAAAGAAAGGGCAAAUCUUUGUAAGAAACAGAUUAUUAGGAUUUUGUGUGGUAGGAAACACCUCAUAUAAGUUCUCAUAUGUUUACAUUCACAACAGAAAGAAUAAUUUCAAGAAUAAACACUCAAAUUUUUUUAAGUACUGCAAUUCAUUUCUCAUACAAUGCUCAAGCAAGAAGUGAGUUUAAAGAAUAUGUCUACUUAACAUGGAAUAGUAAGACCACCUUCUACAUGAUCAAAUCUGAAAUCUUUUUGAGCUUGAAUAAUUAAUUCUUAAAGGGAGGUUCACUUAAAUAUGCAAUCGGAUCUACUUCUCUGGCCUCCCCAACAUAAACAGCCAUAAGCCUUUUGGAACAACAAGCACUGUUGAACUAGCAAGAUAUCUCAACACAGAAGACUGAUGGAUAACAAAAUAAAAGCCAUACGGUUUUCAUGGUGUAAUAACAAAAUUGACAAGAACGAUUAUAUAAUGAAAGUAGAUGUAGAGGAAAAUUUAGAUUGUGCGGCUAAUUAGUUUACGCUGACUUGUUUGCAGUUCCCUUUUUCUGCGAUUAGAUAUAAAAAGGAGAAAUAAAUUUUUAUCUAAAAUGUGAAAGAUCCACACGCCUUUCUCUUUGGCUCACCACAUAGAUUAACAACUCAGAGGCCAUAUCUAUUUCUGCUAGGAAACAUCUCAUGUUCCCAAUUGAUUGCUGAUGUGCACUACCUGAAAAUCAAUACUUCUGCAUCAGAUAAAGAUUUCAAGAGAGGGUAGCACAUGGGUCUGUAUCCUACUGCUUCUUGUACCACAAAAUCCUAGUACAUGCUUCAGACAAGGAUUAGAAGGUUGAUUUUAUGUUUGAUUAUCUUAAAAAUUCAAAUAACUGGACACCUAAAUAUUCAAGGGAGAGCUAUCAGACAACUAAGAAAUUUGAUUAUCCUUGGUAUUUGUAGGGCAAGUUGUGUCUUGGUAAGCAGACACAUAUCCCACACUCCUCCAACUUUGCUAUUCAUUAUGUAUUUGUAGGACAUCAUCAUGUGCUAGUGACUUAUUAUUUCAUUUUCAGUGUUCAAGAAACCUUCUAUAUAAACAUAGGGACUUUGACAUAAAUCAACACAAGCAAACUAGCAAACCUUCAUUUCUUUCAUCAAGCAUCGUCUCAUCCUUUCCCUCUCGACAUCCAUUUUAAGAAUACCAACUUAGAAACAUGGGUAUCCGCAUGCCUCGUAUUCCUCAUGUCAAGAAAAUUUUGCAGGGGUCUUCUUUUGCAACUACAGCAGUUUCAGACGUCCCAAAGGGCUGCUUGGCAGUUUAUGUUGGGGAGAGCCAAAGAAAAAGAUUUGUUGUUCCAAUUUCGUACUUGGCUGAGCCUGCCUUCCAGGACUUGCUAUGUCAAGCUGAGGAAGAAUUUGGUUUUGAUCAUCCAGAGGGGGGUCUUACAAUUCCCUGCAGAGAAGAUGUGUUUACAGAUCUCGCCUCAAGCUUGAGAAGAAAAUCAUAGAGAAGAACCUGAUCAAAAUAAGUAGUUUAGAAAUUUUUUGUAAGCUAGUAGGAGAUAAGUUAGAAAAGGUAGGACCAUAGGCAUUUAGGCAAAAACUUUCUUCCAGUGUCUCAAGGAAUCAUUUUCAAUGAGGAAGAUCAUUACUCAAAAUUUUGUAAAUUAUUAAACUAUAUACAUCCCAAUUAUAUUUUUAUGAUCUAAUUAUGUUGUUUGCAAAUAAAUUCCCAUCUGUUAUCAGUUCCACAUUAUUCUGAAAUUAAUCGAAAUUGGCAUAUAUUAUUCUGAGAUAAAUUUCUUGAAAAUUGAUAUGGGAGUGGGAGAAAGCAGUCCCUUAUCUUAUAUUCCUAUAUUACAGAAAGAAUUAGUCAGAACCUAUCUACAGUUACUCUGUGAUCAUAUUUACUGUUAGACCGAAAUUGAUCAAGCAUCGACCUGCGGAAGAUACUUAUCAGUAACUUUGAUAGUCAAAUCAGUAACUUUUGCAUGUAAUGUAAAUCUCCUUGUCAAAGAUUAAAACUGUGAACGUCAAGUCUGGUCAGAGUUGGAAAGUUAAACUUAUCUACCCAGAACCUAUAGAUGAUGUUAUUGAUAAAAACAGCAAACUUCAGAUGCAAUGAUUGAUGAAAAAAAAAUGGAAUGCAACGUCAAGAUUAUCAGUGGCUUACAUGAAGACUACAAAAAAACCUGCACAACUGAAAUUGGAGGGUUUAGGAUGUCAACUGUUAGAGUGAAAUUAAAUAAAGAUGUUCUUCACAUCCAUCCAAAGAGACCUUGGUAAUUCCAGGAUAUCAAUAUGAAUGAAUAAAUGGAUUCUUCACUGAUGAUUUCUAAAAAACAUAUUUCUGCGAAACUAGAAAUUAAGGCCUGCAGUCUAGCACAAAAGCCUGAGGCAAAGUUUAAACGUGAAAUACAUUAAAAGCCCCUACAAGGCACGUGCUUUUAAUUUAAAUCAUAUCUCUAAUUAAUUGCUCACUAUAUAUGUAGAAUUUGAAUUUAAUGUAUUUAGUUUUGUUUUUAAAUCUUAAAAUAAAACUUUUUGAACCUCCGCAUAGAAAAAAAGACCCGAAUAACACAAUUUUGGAGUUUAAUACCCUGAAUAACAAAUUUUAUAAAAAUGGCCUCAUCUGACAAGUAAAGCCGCUUGGCUAUUAGCGUUUAAUGUAAAGGGGCAACGCUAAUGCUUUUAGCGUUUUUGAAGUACGCCCCAGGGUCUAGUCUUUCUUUUUACUGGCACAAACACACACAACACACUGGUGCUCUCCUUGAAAUAAAUUAAUAUAUAUAUAUAUAUAUAUAUAUAUAUAUAUAUUUUGACCUUUUAACAUGUUUUUUCGAAAAAUAUAAAAAAUAUUGGUUCAAUUUAAUAAAGUAAAUCAACAAUCGUUAACAUUUAGGUUUUAAGUUUGGGUUGUAAAAUGAUUAAUUCAUACUUUAAAUUAAAUUGGCCGACGGUUAGGGUUUAGGAUUGAGGGUUUAGGGCCGUUAGGCCCUAAUCCCUCGAGCCUAAACCCUAAUUAAUGCGAGGCUUUAGGGCCGAGGCCCUAAAGCCGAGAAACCGGCUGAAUAAAUUAAUUUACAAUCGUUAACAUUUAGGGUUUAGGUUUGGGUAGCAGAAUGAUUAAUUCGUACUGUAUAUUAAAUUGGCCGACGGUUAGGGUUUAGGAUUGAGGGUUUAGGGCCGUUAGGCCCUAAUCCCUCGAGCCUAAACCCUAAUUAAUGCGAGGCUUUAGGGCCGAGGCCCUAAAGCCGAGAAACCGGCUGAAUAAAUUAAUUUACAAUCGUUAACAUUUAGGGUUUAGGUUUGGGUUGCAGAAUGAUUAAUUCGUACUAUAUAUUAAAUUGGCCGACGGUUAGGGUUUAGGAUUGAGGGUGUAGGGCCGGUAGGCCCUACUCCCUCGAGCCUAAACAUUAAUUAAUGCGAGGUUGCAGGGCCGAAGGCUCUAAAGCCGAGAAUCCGGCGGAAUAAAUUAAAUUAACAGUCGUUAAUUAACAUUUACGGUUUAUAUUUGGGUUUUAAAAGAAUUAAUUUUUGCAUGGCAUUAAAUUAUUAAAAUAAAUUAAUUGUUGUUAACAUUUUAGGGUGGAUGAUUAAUACUUGAAAAUUAAAAACAAAACAAAAUAAUAAAUAAAUAAAAAAAUAAUUAUAAGAUUAUUGUUAUAAUAUAAAAAAGAUUAUAAGAUUAUUGUUAAAUGAAAUUUAAAAAAGGUGUAGUUAUAAUUGUAAGAAUAGCUGGUUAGCAACUAGCGUUUUGACAACUCUUAAUAUGCCGUAAAGCGCUAUUCUCAAAAGCGUUUUAGUGAAUUUCGAAAACUAGUAAACGCCAAACAGUGUGUCGUUUGUCUUGGUUUGAAUGAAAAAAAAAAUAUACCAAUGCUACACUAAUUAAGUAGCAUUUUAGUGAGCACUAUUGGAUAGCCCAAGUAGUUGAGGGCUUAUCCUCUAUUGGCCCAGGUACUGGGUUUGACUCUGGCUCACCUCGAGAAUAUCUGAGAACAGAUACUCACAUUGUAAGGCUAUAAACCAUAUUAGUCAAAAAAAAAAAGUAGCAUUUUAGUUGAUUAAAAAACCAAAACGCUACAUACUAAACCAACAAUUUGGGGCCGAAACCCGUAUGCAUAUUCUAAUUAUUUAAUACUCAAUUUAUUGUUAGCAAUUCAAUAUUACCAAGAUAUAUUAAUUAAGAUUAUCCUCAAUAACAUCUGUUUAUUAAAACUCCUAAAGCAUUUGUAAUAUACUAAACCAACAAAACAGACGUCUGGCAAAUGUUGAUAGUAUAUUCAUCAGCGUGCUCAAAACAUGUAAAAGUUUACAUGAAAGUCUCAGUCAGAAUACAACUUCUAGACUAGUUUAGAAAUUUUGUACACUAACAACAUAUAACUUUUUACAUAUCUGCAGACAUGUAGAAACUUUCAUAAUCUGUUCAAGAAAUAAAUGAAAGUGUCUUCUUUUUGCAUGGAACUGUGAGGCCGCCUUCUGGAUGACUAAACCCAAAUUCUUCCUCAGCUUGACUUAACAGGUCUUGAAAUGUAGGCUCAUUUAAGUACGAGAUGGGAACCACAAAUCUUCUUCUUUGGUUCUCACCAACAUAAACUGCCAUGCAUCCCUUAGGGACAUUUGUACUAAAAUCAAGAUUUGUAGAGGAAAAUUGCCAUUUGAGAAUUUGCUUGAGAUUAGUGACACGAGGCAUGCGGAUACCCAUGAUGCUAAUCAAAAAUUAAAGUUUUCAGGUAAACUUUGGGGAUAUGAAACUACAAGGACUUCUGCAGAUUGAAGCUUCGACACCAGAAUACACUCAAUUCUGAAAUGACUUUGCUUGAGUUUCCAGCAGGGUUUAUAUAGAAUAUUGAGCUGUUAAUCAAAUUGCAGAUUGAGUGACACAGAUGCAUUAGACAUUAGCACAUGCUAUUUUCUUUGAAUAUCCUAAGGGUAGGACUUGUAUGUCUGUGAGUGACAUCUUGUCCUAUUACUUGUGUUGAACAAUUCCCUAACCUGGUUUUUGCUUUAAAAUUAUAGUUGAGAUAAGAGAGUUUAUAGUGGAGACUGUCAAGUUCGUCAGGCGAGGGAUUAAAUCUCAAGCUUUUAUUGGACAGGCAAGUUUGGUGCUCAUGUGAUGGUGUUUUCUUGACCUAUCCCAGCUGCUUCUUCCAAACAGAUUAUCAGAUAUCUUUGACAUGGUCUAGCUGCAUUAUGUGAAAAUAUCAACUUGGAGCUGGAAGAAACACUGUCACAUGAACACUUAUUAUUCCAACCCCACCAUAAUCAGUGAAGACAAACCCGAAACAUAAAAUCCAUAUCAUGCCACCCAGAUAAACCUUUGGAGGAGUCUUUAGCCAUAGACUAGUGAUUUUGUGUGCUCCAUGUUAAAUCUGCGGUGCAUUUAUGCCCUUUCUUUUAAUUUGUAUAUUACUUAUACACAUAUAACUGUAGGACAUCAAAUUUUCUUCAACAAACGUAUUACAGGCCAAAAUUACAUAUUGAGUCGUGAUUUAUUAUACAGACGUAGUAGGACACUCUGUCUCCCAACACAUAUAGAUGUCCACCUAUCAGUCAUUAAUACGUGUGGCUACUGAAGAAAAAAUCAUGUGCUAGUGUCUAAUGCCUACUCACCGCUCAAUGUACCAUUUGAUGAGAUCGAUGUUCUACACAACUUUCUGAUUGUUCUAUAUAAACACAUAAUUAAGCGAUACUAACAUUCAUCACAAACUCACUGGUCUAAAGUCUUUUCCUCAAAACUAUACAAGUCUAGUGUUUCUUCAGUUUCCUGAACUCUUCCCUGGAAGAUCUAAAGUGUCAUGGGUAUCCGUAUGCCUCGUAUUACUAGUUUCAAACAAAUCCUUAACCGCUCAUCUUUGUUAUUAAAUCCUGAUCUUACUUCAAUGAUUCCAAAGGGGUGCUUGGCAGUUUAUAUUGGGGAGAGGCAAAGAAGCCGAUUUGUGGUUCCCAUUUCGUACCUGAAUGAGCCUGCCUUUCAAGAAUAGUUAAGUCAAGCCGAGGAAGAAUUUGGAUUCAAUCAUCCGGAAGGAGGUCUUACAAUUCCUUGCUCAGAGGACACAUUCAAUGAAAUCACUUCGCGCCUGAACAAUUUAUAUACUUGUAGAUAGUAUAGCACCUCCGAUCUCAUUUGAUGAGUUUCUGAGUGUAAAUUGCAGAACAUAUAGGAUUUAUAUAUAAUUUUUUGUAGGUAAAGCUUAAUUUGAUACUCGAUUUUUUUGAACAUAUUGACCAUCACAUAUAGUCAUAGAUACUUUUAUUUCUCUAAAGCAUAAUACUAAUUUGAUAAACUUUAUGCCUAAAACAAAUCACUGACACAUAAGGCCGCCAUUUUUAGCAAUUCCAAAUGGCUGCUUAUAUUGGGAACAUCCCAAACAAAGGAAAUUUGUAUUUACUGUUUCAUACCUUAAUUUUGCAAUUGUCUUGAUAAAUCAGCCUUGACAGAAGGGUGAUUUUUGCUAACUCUUAAUUAAAAUUUAUAUUUAUAAGCAGUUCUGACUAAUUUAUAAAUAUAUCUCAGGCAUAGUUUAACCUAUUUAAGUCAUUUAUUAUCACGAAUACUCCUUCUGCUCCUCAGCCUACAGUGGUUAUUAGUUAGCACUUUGUGUAUCAAUGUGUGCAAUGUUGUAGCUAACGCGUUAACUAUCGGGUCUGGGUAGUGCUUUCGCAAGAAUGAAACCUUUUGUUGUUGACCUACCCAAUCGAAAUCAUCAUAAGACUCGUGAUGAUCAACCUUCCGAAUAAGUUCCCAUCGUAUUCAGGCUUUUCAACAAAUUAAGUUAAAAUUUUGUAAUUUUCCUGCAAAGCCUUCUAAGAUCUAAUACAAAUUAAAAUAAAUACUGUACAUAAAAUUUUAUAAGAACUUGACAGAAACUACCCUAACAAUUUCACAUUCUGCCUCUCAAAUCAGAAAAUUUAAAUUUUAAGGUGUUUUUUGUUAACAGAUUAAGAUUUAUAUAAGUCUAAACAAAUCAAUGUGUGUUUUAAAAAAUAAAAAGACUUUUGUGCAUUCCCUCUAGCCGCCUCCUCCAUCUUUUCAUUCCCGACGGGGCUUCCAUCGGUUUUCCGGUGGAAAGCCCCAAAUCUUUCCGUUUGAUUGCUAGUUCUUUGAUUGUUUUUGCUUUUCAUUGAUUUUCUUAAUAAAUCUCCUUCUUUAAGGGGGAAAAUUUCUUAGAUCUAUAUCACCGAACUUUUGAUUUUCGUUCUUAUUCGCUUCCAGAAGGCUUUUUGGAUUUGUGGGUGGAUCGAUUAUCUCUACGUGUCGUGGUGCAGAUCUAAUUGCUUUAGUUUUUAGUUGGAUUUUCUCUAGUUUGUUUGGAUUAUAGUUUGAUUUCUCUCCCUGGUGAGAGUGUGUGAUUUUUCUCUCCUCUUUUGUGAGAGUUGGUUUGGAUUCAUCGAUAAAAGCCUUCGAGAAGUGCAUUUGUGGUUGAUAGCUCAAACGGAGUUUUUGAAAAAGAUAAUGAACACAGAGCAAGGAUCUAUACAUGUACCAUCGUCAAUUUCAACAUCGCUUAUUUGUCUCAUCUUGACUAUGAAGACAGGCAUGUUAAUAUUUUCUAUGUUUGUUCGACUCGAUCAUUCUUGUAGAUGCCGUAUGGCUAUUAUUUAAUGAAUUAUUUCCUUUUCUUCAAAAAAAAAAAAAAGAUUUAUAUAAGUCUCAGUCUUAUAUAAAAUGUCUGGACUAGUUCAAAAAAUUUGUAAAGUAUCUAAGAACAUAUCACUAUGUAUGUAUCUGUACACAUAUAUAUAAACUCUCAUAAUCUGUUCAAGAGAUCAAUGAAGGUGUCUUCUUUGCAUGGUAUUGUGAGGCCGCCUUCUGGAUGACUAAACCCAAAUUCUUCCUCAGCUUGACUUAACAGGUCUUGAAACGUAGGCUCAUCUAAGUAUGAGAUCGGAACCACAAAUCUUCUUCUCUGGUUCUCCCCAACAUAAACUGCCAUGCAUCCCUUAGGGACAUUUGUACUACGAUCAAGAUAUGUGGAGGAGGAUUGGCGGUUUAGAAUAUGCUUGAGACUAGUGAUACGAGGAACACGGAUACCCAUGAUGCUAACAAAAAAUUUGUAGUAUUCAGGAUAAACUCUGCUGAUAUUGAAAUACAAGGACUUUUGCAGAUGGAAGGCUUAGACACUUGAAUACAAUUGAUUAUGUGAUGAAUUUGGUUGAGUUUGUGAUAGCGGUUUUAUAGAGCUCGGAAGUAUUGAACAGUUGAUUGAAAUGCAGAUUGAGUGGCACAGAUGCAUUAGGCAUUAGCACAUGCUAUUCUCUUUCAAUGGCCACAUAUGUUUAAGACUAAUGGUAAGACUUAAAUGUCUGUUAAGAGACAUCAUGUCCUACUACUUUUGCUCAACUAAUCUGAACCUGAUAUCUUCUUAUUCAACCAUAUGUUUGAUGCUUAUAGCAUAGCUAAGAGAGUAUAUAAGCCUAAAAUACACUUAUAUGAACGCCAUACAAAUAAUUUGGGUGGAAACUCUUGAGUUUUAGGUGGGACAGACAAGUUAGGUGCCCAUGUGAUGGUGUUCUCUUCCCCUGUGUUAGCUGUUUAUUUUGUUGAUUUGAUGAAUCAUUUAGUAGAAAACAGUGGCUGCUGGGGCUUAAUCAAGCAGACGCAGUAAGGUUGAUGUCUCGCAACACACAGAAAUCAAAUAUUCUUGGUCUUAUAUACUUGUGCUAGUGUCUACUGCUUCUUCACCACUCGGAUAAUAUUUCUAAUAAAUUGUUUAAGUAGUUCUAUGUUCUAUAUAUACUUAUAUUUAAGCAUUAGUAGAAUUCAUCACAAACUCAAUUGCUUCAAGCUUUAAACUUACAUUUCCUUGUGUUUCUGUUGUUUUCCUCAACUCUUCAGUAAAAGAUCCUUGAUAAGUAGGGGCAUGCUGUCUUGCAACAGACAGAGAAGUCAUUCAAUCAGUCAUAAAUAUAUGUAGCUAUUGAAAGAGAAAAUCAUGUGCUAGUGUCUAAUGCCUCUUCACCACUCAAGUUACAUUUUAAAGAACUGUUCAAUUUUCUAUAUAAAUACAUAGCUGGGCAUUAGUAAAAUUCAUCUCAAACUCAACUGUCUAAAGUCUUCACUAUACAAUUCCUUUUCUUUCUCCAUAUUCUCUAAUUGAUCUAAUAGUAUUAUGGGUAUUCGUAUGCCUCGUGUUACCAAUCUCAAGAAUAUCCUAAACCCGUCUUCUUUCUUGAUAAGUCCUGAUUAUACUUCAACAGUUCCGAAGGGUUGCUUGGCAGUAUAUAUUGGGGAGAAGCAAAGAAGACGAUUUGUGGUCCCCGUUUCAUACCUGAAUAAUCCUGCCUUCCAGGACUUGUUAAAUCAAGCUGAGGAAGAAUUUGGGUUCAGCCAACCAGAAGGCGGCCUCACUAUUCCCUGCUCAGUGGAAACAUUCAUCCACCUUACUUCGAGCCUAGAUAGAAUAUAGUCAGAAAACAUUUAUGUACAGGUAGAUAGUACAGCAUUAAAAUGUAAUUAGUAGAAAGGAGAAUUUUAUAGAUUUUGUUGGCAACGGAUAAUUUGAAACUCACCAUUUUGUUGAAUUUAACAUUACCAAAAUUUAUUGAUCAUAGUUUCUACUUAUAAAUUUAGAUAUAAAAAGAGACCAUGCAACUAUUAAACUGAUGGAGAGAAAUUAUUACACAGCACACGGAUUUCCUUUAUGAAUCUUAAGUAUCCAAGAAGAUAUAAAAAGGCCAGAAUCUGAAAAACUAACUCCAUCUGACUUCGCAUAGAAAAGAAGAUGUUACAUGUGGAAACUCCCAUAUCUUC
rnacentral:lncRNA from 1 species